UCCAUGUCGAGGGUGGAAGUGCAGAGGAGCUCGGCAAACAUCAGUCGCAUCACUUCCACUCUCAAGUCUUGCUCAGCGAGAAAGAUUUUUUGCUGGAAUCAAGCAGACGAGAAGCUGUGAAGAUGUGUCAAGUGGCGGACCAGCGCUUCCUGUUCUUCUCCGCUGAAUCCCUUCCUGUAAGGCCGGCUCAGUGGUGCCUGGCCUGUUGAGGCGGAACGUGCGACUGCACUGCAGGAGCGCAACCGAACGCUGAAACCAGGCUGACUUAAUACCCUCCAACAAGCAACGCCUGUUUAAGUGACACGAGUCAGCCGACGGUGUGAAAUCAACAAGCUGGGCCCGAAUACAGCCACGACAGAGGAGAUGUUCGCCGAGCACAGCGCCCUCUGCGGACAAGGAAAGCCUCCGGCCCCUCGUAAUCCACAUCUGGGCAGACCUCACCCGCCGUCAAGGAUGCGACGCCAACACCGGCUCCCCAAACGCCAUCCGGCACGGAGAACCUCCCGGACCGCAAAGGACACGUGGGCCCCGCAACGGCUGGCGACCGGCUGCGCCGGCAGACUAGUGCACAAAGCCAGUGGGAUGGCAAAAGACCCUUCUUUCUGGAACAUUCCGGUCUGGAAGAACGAGCCUCCAAAACAGAUGUUCAAGGCAUCUGCUCCCCUCGCCCACGCGAACAACGAAUGACUUUGGAGUUGUCAAAAUGACUUUUAUUCACCUUUCUGGGGUUGCACGCCUUUCCUUUCCAAUGUAUUCUUUGACUGUUCCAUAACUGCGGUGUAACUUCUUGGAGGUGUUCCCUUGUUUGUCUCAUCCAAGGACAUUCCCAAGCGGGCUACAACAGAUGGUGGCAACGUCCUGAAGGAGCUUCCUUAUCGUCCGUUUGUGUUUUUCGACUUGCGGGCUUAGAGAGGCUCGCAAAGAGCCUCAGGACAGCCGGCCGUCCUUUUACACCUGAGCUGUGCAUAUGGUCUGAUCCGAAUGAAUCCGCGCAUUACCCGACUGGAAAUAAUGGCAGUGUGUUUCUCUUGAUGCGUUUUUUAGUGCUGGGCAAAUGAUACCGAGGCUUCAGCGCUCGUGUCACUCUUCCCGAAGCGGAGUGAUUCGAAAUGCUUGUAUCGGCGCUUGUAUCGAAACACCAGUGUCACGUGACCGAUGACGUUUCGCUUCGCGCUUCAAAAUGUUGCUAAGCUUUUCAUUGGCUCAUAGUCUUUUGGUGUGUGUCAUGGCUCAUGGAGUUUCAAGUUUAAUUUCUUCUUUGGGUUAAUCUGGAAUGUGUUUUAGAGUACGGGGGAGAGCAUCUGCAUAUUUGAUUACGUCAAUUUGUCCUAAUCAUUAUUUGGUAUGAAUGAACGAAACACUCGAAUGACUUUUCUGAACUUUUAUUGGUGUCAUGGGAAACAGUGCCAGUCGUGCUCUUUAGAGGUUGCUAUGGCCUCAGUUGUCCACCAGAGGUCACUGUAGCCUUGAAUCUUUUUCGGCACAAUUGUUAGGAAAGCCUCAGUUAUUUUCCCAAUUGUGAAACAGCUUUACAUUGGCGCUGUGCUAAAAGUUGGAUUUGAUUCUCUUCGAGUCGGCUGUUAAACCGGAUGUUAGCAUUGUCCCGGGCUAGCUUGCUCGCCACGAACAAAAACACGGAAACCGAAACACUUUGCACUCACUGAGAAU